rnacentral:lncRNA from 1 species
AUUAAAUCUCUCAUAAAUAUUGAAUCCAAAUCCGAUGGGCAAUUAGGCAUCAGAGAUCAUCGAUAUGAAACCCUGAUCAAAGAGUUCAAAUUUCAAAUUCAAAAUUUGAAAUUCAAAAUUUUGAUCCCGGUACCCAAAAUAUGUGGAACUCAUGAUCAGAGAAUCCUAAUUCUCAAUCAUAGAGUCCCAGACACAUAAGACUCAUAAUCAGCCAUCAGAUCAGAAAGGAACCUCUAAUGUGUGUGACCCCGAAGGUUCGAACCUAAGCGGGUAGCACAGGAAUCAAUUUCUGUACUAAUCGAAGUGACCAUCUAGCAAUGGUACCCGACGAUCGGAUAGGUCGAAUAGUCACAAUCGCAACAUUCAGA